rnacentral:rRNA from 1 species
AUUGAACGCUGGCGGCAGGCCUAACACAUGCAAGUCGAACGGAUGAAGGGAGCCUGCUCCUGGAUUCAGCGGCGGACGGGUGAGUAAUGCCUAGGAAUCUGCCUGGUAGUGGGGGAUAACGUCCGGAAACGGGCGCUAAUACCGCAUACGUCCUGAGGGAGAAAGUGGGGGAUCUUCGGACCUCACGCUAUCAGAUGAGCCUAGGUCGGAUUAGCUAGUUGGUGGGGUAAAGGCCUACCAAGGCGACGAUCCGUAACUGGUCUGAGAGGAUGAUCAGUCACACUGGAACUGAGACACGGUCCAGACUCCUACGGGAGGCAGCAGUGGGGAAUAUUGGACAAUGGGCGAAAGCCUGAUCCAGCCAUGCCGCGUGUGUGAAGAAGGUCUUCGGAUUGUAAAGCACUUUAAGUUGGGAGGAAGGGCAGUAAGUUAAUACCUUGCUGUUUUGACGUUACCAACAGAAUAAGCACCGGCUAACUUCGU